CUGGCGGCGUGCUUAACACAUGCAAGUCGAACGGAAAGGCCCCUUCGGGGGUGCUCGAGUGGCGAACGGGUGAGUAACACGUGGGUGAUCUGCCCUGCACUUUGGGAUAAGCCUGGGAAACUGGGUCUAAUACCGGAUAGGACCAUGGGAUGCAUGUCUUGUGGUGGAAAGCUUUUGCGGUGUGGGAUGGGCCCGCGGCCUAUCAGCUUGUUGGUGGGGUGAUGGCCUACCAAGGCGACGACGGGUAGCCGGCCUGAGAGGGUGUCCGGCCACACUGGGACUGAGAUACGGCCCAGACUCCUACGGGAGGCAGCAGUGGGGAAUAUUGCACAAUGGGCGCAAGCCUGAUGCAGCGACGCCGCGUGGGGGAUGACGGCCUUCGGGUUGUAAACCCCUUUCAGUACCGACGAAGCGGAAGUGACGGUAGGUACAGAAGAAGCACCGGCCAACUACGUGCCAGCAGCCGCGGUAAUACA
rnacentral:rRNA from 1 species